GGAUGGAUUGCAAUAUAUACACAGGGACAUGUUGGUACAAGGUCUCUUUCAUUCUGCUCUGUGGUUCUGCAGACAAAAGCCUAUUGGUAAUUAAUUCUCUCUGGCAGUUCUCCAGUUCCUCCUCAGUUUGAGUUACUUGUCUGUUGCCUCCUCCCACUUUCCUAGAGUUGAAUCUGACUCUUAUUAUUUGGGAGCCAAAAACUCUGUCUAUAAACCUGCCUGCAAAUUUUUGGUCUUAUGGUCCUGUGGCUUCUUUGAGACUUUGGUUCGGUUUGGGAGAAAACGUUCCUUGGAAUGCAGUAAGAGAACUGCAGAUGGGACUGUCUAAUUGCAGGAAAACAAGCACAGGCCUCCCCCUGAUUCUACGUUAUGUUGCUCUGCUGUGCACAAAGGAAAUAGACGGAAUAAAAUCGCAUCUCAGGAACACCAACAUAAAUUCCCCCUUGCUUUGACAACUUUUAGAGUGACCGACCAUUACCAGUCUGACCAGAAUUUUAUUGGCUGCAAUACUGAAAAGCUCAUGUCUCGGAAAUCCUUUGGUCUUGGGUGAAGUGGGAUGCUUGGUUACCCUACCACUGAUGAUUGUAAUUCUCAGGUAAGGUACUUGGGUUUCGGCAGUUGUUAACUCUCCUAAAUAUUUGCAACCUUGAAUUGUUCACGUUUGGUCUCUGUUAACCAGC
rnacentral:lncRNA from 1 species